rnacentral:rRNA from 1 species
AGUGAACGCUGGCGGCAGGCCUAACACAUGCAAGUCGAACGGCAGCACAGUAAGUGUUUGCUCUUACGGGUGGCGAGUGGCGGACGGGUGAGGAAAAUAUCCGAAUCUACUCUUUCGUGGGGGAUAACGUAGGGAAACUUACGCUCAUACCGCAUAUGAUCUACGGGUGAAAGCAGGGGAUCUUCGGACCUUGCGCGAUUGAACGAGCCGAUGUCGGACUAGUUAGUUGGCGGGGUAAAGGCCCACCAGGGCGACGAUCCGUAGCUGGUCUGAGAGGACGGUCGGCCGCACGGGAACUGGACCGGGGACCAGGGUCCUGCGAGAGGCAGCAGUGGGGAAUAUUGGACAGUAGGCGCAAACAUGGUCCAGCCAGACCACGUGGGUGAAGGAGGCGUUGGGGUUGUGAUGCCCUUUUUUUGGGAAAGAAAAGCAUCAGGUUAAUACCACGCUGUACUGACGGUACCCAGUAAAGAAGCACCGGCUAACUUCGUG